UACGACGGGAGCUAGCGUUGUUCGGAAUUACUGGGCGUAAAGGGCGCGUAGGCGGGUUUCCAAGUCGGGGGUGAAAUUCCAGGGCUCAACCCUGGGACGGCCUUCGAUACUGGGAGCCUGGAGAUCGGGAGAGGUGAGUGGAAUUCCGAGUGUAGAGGUGAAAUUCGUAGAUAUUCGGAGGAACACCAGAAGCGAAGGCGGCUCACUGGCCCGAGACUGACGCUGAGGCGCGAAAGCGUGGGGAGCAAACAGG
rnacentral:rRNA from 1 species